rnacentral:rRNA from 1 species
UGCAGUCGAGGGAGAAAACCUCCUUCGGGAGGUGAGUAAACCGGCGGACGGGUGCGUAACACGUGAGCAACUUUCCCAGCAGAGGGGGAUAACCCGGGGAAACCCGGGCUAAUACCGCAUAACGUGGCUUUCGCGCAUGCGGAAGCCACCGAAGGGGGGCGAUCCUUCGGGAGCUCUCGCUGUUGGAUAGGCUCGCGGCCUAUCAGCUUGUUGGUGGGGUAACGGCCCACCAAGGCGAUGACGGGUAGCUGGUCUCAGCGGAUGAUCAGCCACACGGGGACUGAGACACGGCCCCGACUCCUACGGGAGGCAGCAGUGGGGAAUUUUGGACAAUGGGCGAAAGCCUGAUCCAGCGACGCCGCGUGCGGGAGGAAGCCCUUCGGGGUGUAAACCGCUGUCAGGGGGGAAGAACCGGCUCGGGCGAAUAGUUCGGGCAACUGACGGUACCCCCAGAGGAAGCGCCGGCUAACUCCGUGCCAGCAGCCGCGGUAAUACGGAGGGCGCAAGCGUUGUUCGGAAUUACUGGGCGUAAAGGGGGCGCAGGUGGCUUGGUAAGUCCUAUGUGAAAGCCCGCGGCUCAACCGCGGAAUUGCAUAGGAUACUGCCGAGCUUGAGACGGGUAGAGGCGAGUAGAAUUCCCGGUG